UCUCCGUUGGUGAACCAGCGGAGGGAUCAUUAUAGAGUUUUCAAAACUCCCAAACCCAUGUGAACUUACCUAUGUUGCCUCGGCGGAGCCUACCCUGUAGCUACCCUGUAGCGGUUUACCCUGUAACGCACUGCCGGUGGACUUUUAAACUCUUGUUAUUUUAUAGUAAUCUGAGCGUCUUAUUUUAAUAAGUCAAAACUUUCAACAACGGAUCUCUUGGUUCUGGCAUCGAUGAAGAACGCAGC
rnacentral:misc_RNA from 1 species